rnacentral:rRNA from 1 species
AGAGUUUGAUCCUGGCUCAGAUUGAACGCUGGCGGCAUGCCUUACACAUGCAAGUCGAACGGCAGCACGGGAGCAAUCCUGGUGGCGAGUGGCGAACGGGUGAGUAAUAUAUCGGAACGUGCCCAGUCGUGGGGGAUAACGCAGCGAAAGCUGUGCUAAUACCGCAUACGAUCUAUGGAUGAAAGCGGGGGACUCGCAAGGGCCUCGCGCGAUUGGAGCGGCCGAUAUCAGAUUAGGUAGUUGGUGUGGUAAAAGCGCACCAAGCCGACGAUCUGUAGCUGGUCUGAGAGGACGACCAGCCACACUGGAACUGAGACACGGUCCAGACUCCUACGGGAGGCAGCAGUGGGGAAUUUUGGACAAUGGGCGCAAGCCUGAUCCAGCAAUGCCGCGUGCAGGAUGAAGGCCUUCGGGUUGUAAACUGCUUUUGUACGGAACGAAACGGUCUGCUUUAAUACAGUGGGCUAAUGACGGUACCGUAAGAAUAAGCACCGGCUAACUACGUGCCAGCAGCCGCGGUAAUACGUAGGGUGCGAGCGUUAAUCGGAAUUACUGGGCGUAAAGCGUGCGCAGGCGGUUAUAUAAGACAGAUGUGAAAUCCCCGGGCUCAACCUGGGACCUGCAUUUGUGACUGUAUAGCUAGAGUACGGUAGAGGGGGAUGGAAUUCCGCGUGUAGCAGUGAAAUGCGUAGAUAUGCGGAGGAACACCGAUGGCGAAGGCAAUCCCCUGGACCUGUACUGACGCUCAUGCACGAAAGCGUGGGGAGCAAACAGGAUUAGAUACCCUGGUAGUCCACGCCCUAAACGAUGUCAACUGGUUGUUGGGUCUUCACUGACU